rnacentral:rRNA from 1 species
UACGAAGGGGGCUAGCGUUGCUCGGAAUUACUGGGCGUAAAGCGUGCGCAGGCGGUAAGUUAAGUCUGAUGUGAAAGCCCCGGGCUCAACCUGGGAAUGGCAUUGGAAACUGGCUUGCUAGAGUGUGGCAGAGGGGGGUGGAAUUCCGCGUGUAGCAGUGAAAUGCGUAGAGAUGCGGAGGAACACCGAUGGCGAAGGCAGCCCCCUGGGCCGACACUGACGCUCAGGCACGAAAGCGUGGGGAGCAAACAGG